CAGUCGCCGCGGGAAUACAGAGGGUGCGAGCGUUAAUCGGAUUUACUGGGCGUAAAGCGUGCGUAGGCGGCUUCUUAAGUCGGAUGUGAAAUCCCUGAGCUUAACUUAGGAAUUGCAUUCGAUACUGGGAAGCUAGAGUAUGGGAGAGGAUGGUAGAAUUCCAGGUGUAGCGGUGAAAUGCGUAGAGAUCUGGAGGAAUACCGAUGGCGAAGGCAGCCAUCUGGGACAACACUGACGCUGAGGCACGAAAGCGUGGGGAGCAAACAGGAUUAGAUACCCGCGUAGUCCCUGUCUCUUAUAC
rnacentral:rRNA from 1 species